GCCGGGUGCGGUGGUGUGUGCCUGUAGUUCCAGCUAUUCAGGAGGCUGAGGGUGAAGGAUCUCUUGAGUCCAGGAGUUCUGGGCUGUAGUGCGCUAUGCCGAUUGGGUGUCCACACUAAGUUCGGCAUCAAUAUGGUGACCUCCCAGGAGCGAGGGACCACCAGGUUGCCUAAGGAGGGGUGAACCGGCCCAGGUCAGAAACGGAGCAGGUCAAAACUCCCAUGCUGAUCAGUAGUGGGAUCGUGCCUGUGAAUAGCCACUGCACUCCAGCCUGGACAACAUAGCGAGACCCUGUCUCU
rnacentral:SRP_RNA from 1 species